UACAGAGGUCCCGAGCGUUGUUCGGAUUCAUUGGGCGUAAAGGGUGCGUAGGCGGCGGGGCAAGUCUGAUGUGAAAUCCUGGGGCUCAACCCCAGAACUGCAUUGGAUACUGCCUUGCUAGAGUACUGGAGAGGGAACUGGAAUUUACGGUGUAGCAGUGAAAUGCGUAGAGAUCGUAAGGAAGGCCAGUGGCGAAGGCGAGUUCCUGGACAGUUACUGACGCUGAGGCACGAAGGCCAGGGAGCAAACGGG
rnacentral:rRNA from 1 species